rnacentral:tRNA from 1 species
GGAAUAGCUCAGUGGUAGAGUGCGUGCUUAGCAUGCAUGAGGUCCUAGGUUCAAACCCCAGUACCUCCA